rnacentral:rRNA from 1 species
AUUGAACGCUGGCGGCAUGCCUAAUGCAUGCAAGUCGAACGAGUGGCGGACGGGCGAGUAAUGUCUGGGAACCUGCUUGACGGAGGGGGAUAACUCCUGGAACCGGUAGUUAAUACCGCUAACCAUCGGCUGUGCCCUGAUGGGAUUAUGUAGUAGGUGGGGUAACGGCGCACCUAGGCGAAGAUCCCUAGCUGGUCUGAGAGGAUGACCAGCCACACUGGAACUGAGACACGGUCCAGACUCCUACGGGAGGCAGCAGUGGGGAAUAUUGCACAAUGGGCGAAAGCCUGAUGCAGCCAUGCCGCGUGUGUGAAGAAGGCCUUCGGAUUGUAAAGCACUUUCAGCAGGGAAGCGUUACCCACAGAAAAAGCAACGGCUAACUACGUGCCAGCAGCCGCGGUAAUUC